rnacentral:rRNA from 1 species
CCUACGGGCUGCAGCAGUAGGGAAUCUUGCGCAAUGGGCGAAAGCCUGACGCAGCAACGCCGCGUGGGGGAUGAAGGCUCUCGGGUUGUAAACCCCUUUCAGCAGGGACGAAAUUGACGGUACCUGCAGAAGAAGCCCCGGCCAACUACGUGCCAGCAGCCGCGGUAAUACGUAGGGGGCGAGCGUUGUCCGGAUUCAUUGGGCGUAAAGAGCUCGUAGGCGGCUUGGCAAGUCGAAUGUGAAAACUCCAGGCUCAACCUGGAGCCGCCAUUCGAUACUGCUAUGGCUAGAGUCCGGUAGGGGAGUGUGGAAUUCCCGGUGUAGCGGUGAAAUGCGCAGAUAUCGGGAGGAACACCGAUGGCGAAGGCAGCACUCUGGGCCGGCACUGACGCUGAGGAGCGAAAGCGUGGGGAGCGAACAGGAUUAGAUACCCCUGUAGUC